AAUAUCACAGCGCAUGCGUGUUCUGCCUUCCCCUUCGGUCAUUCGAGACAGUCGGAAGAUUUCGGUAGCAAGUUAAAAUCCGGUUUUUAUCAAAAAUCGAAUGACCUUCAAAGAACGAAAGAACGUUCUGUUAAAAUUCACAAAGUCAACUUUAUAUGUUGCAUAUAAUAUUGCAAAUAUACUUUAAUGCAAUCAUUAAAAGUAAUUUUUAUGUAAUUUAUUGCAUUAAAAUGUUGAACUUGAAGAAUUAAUUAUUUUUUCUCUACUCAAAAUAACAAAGCUGUCCCAGUAUAAUGAUAGAGAAAAACUAUUCAUUUCUAUUUAGUAUUUUGACAAUGACAAAUUACCAGCUUUAUCCUCAUUCAAAUUUGUCUUAAUUUCAGUCUAAAAAUUCAUCAUGUCUGAUUUGAAAAUUGGUAUCAACGGCUUUGGUCGUAUCGGAAGAUUGGUUAUGAGAGCCGCUUUGAUGAAGAACGUUGAUGUUGUUGCCAUCAACGAUCCCUUCAUUGAAUUAGAAUACAUGGUUUACAUGUUCAAAUAUGAUACUACUCAUGGUCGCUUCCCUGGUGAAGUUCGUCAUGAGAACGGCAAACUUAUCAUUAAUGGUAAGUCAAUCCGUGUCUUUAACGAAAUGAAGCCAACUGAAAUCAAGUGGGGAGAAGCUGGCGCCGAAUAUGUCGUCGAAUCCACUGGUGUUUUCACCACUCUCGAAAAGGCCAAGUGCCAUAUUGAAGGUGGAGCCAAGAGAGUUGUUAUCUCUGCUCCUUCUGCCGAUGCUCCCAUGUUUGUUAUGGGUGUCAACGAGGGCAAAUAUGACCCAAGCAAAGAUACCAUUGUUUCAAACGCCAGUUGCACAACCAACUGUUUGGCUCCUCUUGCUAAAGUUGUCAACGAUAAAUUCGGCAUUGUUGAAGGUUUGAUGACAACCGUACAUGCUUACACGGCCACCCAGAAGGUCGUAGAUGGACCCAGCAACAAGGACUGGAGAGGUGGAAGAACUGCAGCCCAAAACAUCAUCCCAUCCUCAACCGGAGCCGCUAAGGCCGUAGGAAAGGUCAUCCCUGACUUGAAUGGAAAAUUAACUGGCAUGGCCUUCCGUGUUCCAGUUCAAGAUGUUUCAGUUGUUGAUCUGACUUGCAGGUUACAAAAGCCAGCUUCCUACGAAGCCGUUAAAGCUGCAAUCAAGGCUGCCUCUGAAGGUGAAAUGAAAGGCGUUCUUGAAUAUACCGAAGAUGCUGUUGUUAGCUCCGACUUUAUCGGCUGCAAUGCUUCCUCUAUCUUUGAUGCAAAGGCUGGAAUUGCUCUAAACGACAACUUUGUAAAAUUGGUCAGCUGGUAUGAUAAUGAGUUUGGAUACAGCAACAGAGUAAUCGACCUUCUUAAGUACAUGAAGAGCAAGGAGUAAAGAAUGAACAUGUAUUUAGUAUCGUGUGUUUAAUGCAUGCUUAUUUUCCCUUACGUAGGGUAAUUUGGUGUUUAGAAACAGCCGGUAUUCUACUCCUUUUCGUUGCUAAUAAAUGUGCACAAAAAUUAAAUUAUGUCUUAUUUUACAAUAUUUCGGAAAAUAAAUCAGCA
rnacentral:misc_RNA from 1 species